AAGUUUCGUUACGAAACGUUUAGACAUUUCUGACGGAGGAAAGAAUUGAUGCUCUUGUUUCACACGAUCCAUAAUUUUUGUAGAACCGGAUGUGAGGAGGACUUUAAUACUGACGCAAUCCGGUACCGUACAACGAAAAAAAAAGCGUACCUUGCCCAAAAUGGUGUAAAGACGUGAAACCACAAAACGCCCAUCUUUUAAUGAACAAGUCAUCUGCAGUCAACAACCUGGCUUCAUCGCAGUGAAAGGCGAGAGUGGAUAUUGGUUUGCAAGCAAGCACUCCCAUCCCACUAAUUCAAAGGAUUGUAGCUGACAAGCUAGCUACGCAACGCAGCUAACUAUGGAGCCCUCCGAGCAGCAGCAGCAGCAGACGGGCCCAGGUUCUGGCUCUCAGGAGGUCAACCCUGUGUACCUGCAGCAGCUGCGAGAGCUGGACAUCCCUGAGGAGGCUGCCAAGCAAGCACUCUUGCACACCCGAAACGUGUCUGCUGAGGAGGCUGCCAUGUACUACUUUAACAAGCUGGAGAAUGAGGAGGAAGGAGACGACGACCUCAUGUUCAAGAUGGUGUUUGUGGUGAACAUGGACCUGGCCAUGGGUGUGGGAAAGGUCAGUGUAAAGCAUGAAACACCGUCUGACUGCAGAUAGCUACUACUUAUCACAGUGGGAGGCCGUUCCUUCUCUUGCUAGAACAAAAGCGGUACCUGCUGCGUGCCGACCUAGUAGCGACGAACUUAGCGCUUCUACUUCACAAUGCUCGUCAUUGGCCAACAACUUGACUUUGAGCCAAUCGGAGAGCACAAUCCCCGACGUGGGGUAGCCAACUAGAGUGACAACAAAAAGGAAAAAAGAGGGCAUUUUUGCCUUAAAUCCAUGGAUGAGCCAAUCAUACUUCAUAUGCAAUGUAGUCUAUGGGAAUGGUAGCUAGUUAAGUGCACAGAUGCAUUGCACACAACACUAAAUACUUCAUCCAAGCUAGUUAACCACUGUAGCUAGUAUUGACAUCAUUAAAUCACAAUUGAUUAGCUAGUUUCCAUGAAACAGCUGCCUGUUCGUGCAGUGUCACUAGCUAUGUUGUGCUAGCAAUCUAAACAUUUGGCUAUGGGCUGGCACUGGCGGUAUGGGAUUAUGGAGAGUGAAUUAAAUGUUUUUUGUUGUCAUCUUGCUAGUUAAAAUUGCUAGGUAGUUAAGUCGCUGACGACUUUGUCUUUGCAACUCCUCAACGGGAUCGGGAGGCAAAGGUCGAGUCAUGCGUCCUCCGAAACAUUACCCGCCAAAUUGCACUUCUUAACACCUGCCCACUUAACCUGGAAGCCAGCCGCACCAAUGUGCAGGAGGAAACACUGUUCAACUGACGCCCGAGGUCUGCCUGCAGGUGCCCGGCCCGCCACAAGGAGUUGCUAGAGUGCGAUGAGCCAAGUAAAGCCCGGCCAAACCCUCCCCUAAGCCGAGCGACGCUAGGUCAAUUUUGCACCGACCUAUGGGACUCCCAAUCACAGCCCGGGAUCAAAGCCGGGUCUGUGGUGACGCCUCUAGCAGCACCUUAGACCGCUGCGCCACUCGGGAGGCCCCGGUGUGUCUGAGCUUUAAGAAAAAGGGUUGGAAUGUGGUGUUUUGGUGUAGUUUGUGAACCAGGUGCACAAAAAAAUCCCAGUUUGCCCGUAUUGCUAAAAAAAGGUUUUGUUUAAUUUUUUCUAACUGAAAGUGUUUGUUGUAUAGCUGGCUGCGCAGGUGGGCCACGCAGCUGUGGGGCUCUACCAGGCCCUGCAGGAGAAGAACAGCUGGAGGGAGAUGGCCUGGAAGUGGGACCAUGGCGGGGCGAAGAAGGUGGUGGUGCAGGGGACCAACAUGGCCCACCUUUUGGAGCUGCAGGCCCUGGCCAUGAGCCUUAGCCUGCCCACAUACCUGGUCCAGGAUGCCGGACGCACCCAGGUGGAAGCCGGCUCACGCACUGUCCUGGCCAUCGUUGGGGAGGAGGAGAUGGUGAACAAUGUCACUGGAAGUCUGAAGCUGCUCUGAGGGACUAAACCAGCUGUGGAGGUGCAGGGCUGUGCAAUGCCACAGAGGCAACCAGCAGAGGGCAGCAUCCCCCUAACAGCAGAAGGGUCUCAGCAUGCAAGCGCAACAAAGUAACAAAAAAAAUGAAAAAAAGAGUAAAACAACCAGACAUGACCCAACCACCAAGAUGAACAUUCAGCCAUUUUUUUUCUGUUCCCUGUCCGAGCCACUGACUGGAGAAGAGAUGUGUAAGAGUUGCUCAUGUCGAGAGGAAGGGACUGGUUACUCACACCGACAAUGUUGAAGCCAGUUUGAACAGUUAAGCUAUUUAAGAGGGAUGGCCAUUACUGUAUGAGAGAAUGGUAUCCAAUUUUUAUGAAGCUGGAAGUUCAUGGCAUCCCAUAAUUCUGACUCCCAAUUUUUAAAAUAUGAUUUGGUGUAUUUAAAGAAGAAAAAAAAUCAAGGAUAGAACCUAGUGUUUUGGUGUUUGUUAAAUACUGUUAUUGUAAUUCAAGCAGCAAAAUAUAUUAAUGUAAUAAUUAUUUUUAGAUGUAGGAUCUUCCUGUGAAAGUUACUGCUUAUCAGUAAGGAGAGCUUUACUGACACCUUUACCAUUGUGUCGGUGUGUAAACUAAUGUGUAUAUGUAUACACGUAUGUAUGCGACAUUCUCCCCCAAAGACCCUGCCCCUUAGAAAUGGUAACACUACAUAUUGACGUCAAAUGGCCGCCCAUUGCUUUUAUGUGCAUCCGUCCAGGCCAUAUAUAAUCGGUGGCAUGCCAUCAACAUUUCGCACAAUCACUGUUGGAGUUUUUUUUAAAUUUGUUUUGGAGUUUUUUUCCUCCAUUUUCUGUUCUUGCAAAAAAGGAUAAGGUCGACUCGGCUUGCUCUGAGUUAGAAUUCCUGGACUUGGGGGUUUGGCGUAAAAAUAAGUGUGAGGAACUCAUUGUAUGGGUUAAAAUAAGCUGCUGUGCUUGAUGCUUGCACAGGUACUCAAGCUGAUUUAUUAAUGGUUUACACACGUGAAAUGUUGUGUCAUUUUUUUAACUGCUUUGAGGGUACAUGUGUUAUCUUUCUCUACGAUGUAGUCUAAAAGAUGUCUAGCUAUGACUUCUACCUAAUCAGUAUAAAUAUCUAAGCUGGAGUAGCAGUUACAGGAGAACAAUUAACUGAAUAAAAAAAGUAUACAUUCUUGCCCUUACAGAUUUAAGCAUUGGACAACCAGAUGCCUAUGAUAUGUUUCUGUUAAAACAACUCAUUGUUCAUUACUUAAGCAAAAAUGAAUCGUAUUUUGUGAGCAUGUGAUGCCAUUUGGGACCGUAAAAUGGCUCUGAAGUCUUACUAAAUAUGGAAUGGUCUUAUUAUUUAAAUGGAACUGACAUGACAUGCAUGUAACAGUUAUGCUGAAAACAUAUUUUUUUCUCCUCUGUGUUAAAGAGACCAUGCAAAACGCCAUGGCUGCAUCCAUUUUUUUAUUUUGUGUUUGCACUUUGAUUCCUGUCGGUGUUACACAACAAUUUGUUCCUGUUUUAAAACCAAGGAGCCCAUUAAAAAUUACUUCUGACCAAGUGAAGUAAUUUUUUUUAUUUGAAUCUAUUAUACUUUCAUUUUUUUGUAAAUGACAUUUCUACCCCAACCGCAAUGAUUUGUUUAUUAAUAUGAUUAAAACUACUGAUGUUGCAAGUUCUUCCCUGCCACAUUUCAGCUCUGAACUCUCCCCACGAAACAAUGGUUAUCUUCUCUGUACAGGAAUCCAACUUCCCAAUAACAUUCUAUAGCAAUCAACCUAUCGGUUUAUAGAGGGUGGAAAUAACUUGGAAACUAGAGUGAAAUGAUUUUAUUAGUUGUGUAAUUAUUCUGAUUAGCUUUUUCAGAAUAUAGAAAUACACUUAAGGUUGACGUGCGCUACAGCAUCUUUCUAAUGGCUGCCUCGUUCACACGUCGGAUUGAUCGGAGGAAUGUCUUGGACCGUUCACGUGUUCCGAGCGAACGCAAUAAGAAAUCCGAAAUCGCGGCCAGCAUGUGAGAAAGAUCGUUGUCCAUGAGAUUAUAUCCGAGUUUCCUACUUGUAAUUACAAGGGCAUUCAUGUGCAUUUUCCCAAGUAGCAAGCGAGCAACCCUUGACAAGUAAUGCCGCGUUCAUGUCUUGUCGGAAACUCCAUUUUAAAAUAAAUGUAAAAUAUUUACGUUGAGCUUCCAAUUGAUUUAUUCCGGUACAUCACAAGUGGAAACUCUGGAUCCAACUCUUCAGCAAAUUGGACAUUUCGGGAGUUUCCGACAUAAGGUAUCAUGAUCGAUAUCAGCAGAGCAGGGGAACCCAAAUACAUAAAUACAGCCUGUGAAAAGUACGUCAAGAAUGUAGGGAUGGUCUUUCAUUCCCUCAAUUCAGCCUGAACGAUGAAUAACAAGGCCCUUCUAAAAUUAAAAUAUAGAUUUUCAAAUUAAUGUAUGUUGGAACGUUCCAUGCGAUUGAGCAGUAUUCCAGAAGAGGCCAGAGGCAACUAAAAGAGCUGGGAACUCACAGAUCUAUGUAGACAAAACCGAAUGAAUCCUUGAUUUAUUCAGUUCAAUCUUAAUUUUCAUCGCGCAGAAAUAUAUAACAAAUGUCAAAUGGAUCAGUUUCUAUUCACUAAAAUGUAAUUUGUGUGCUUGUGGUUACGUUUGUUACCUACAGUGAAACUGCAUUGGAUAGAGUAGAAUUUCUGAGUAAAAUGAAGGUAGACAUUUUAGAAACAUGAACGUUCCAUCUUGCAGUCGUCUCCGCAUUUUAGACCAUUGCAACAUAACGUUAGCAUUUGACUUUUUCUAUUCCAAAUGCUUCUCUCAGGUCCAUGAUAAGAAAAAGAAGCCAAUCGCAUGCAAUCUUCAUUCUAUUCAUUAAUCCUCAAACGCAGUUAUUUAUUUAACCGAUGAAGGAUAAUGGAAGCGGAAUCUUCAUCAAUGCUUUGCAUAUACUCGUAAACAAGGUCAAACGCGAACAGCAGAAUGUAGCCUAAAAUCUCUAUAAUCGAAAGAAAAGUAUAUUUAUUCUGAAACCGCUAUCGAAUGUUGGUUGAUUAUAAUAAAAUACGAUCUGAUCACAUACAUGAAAAGCCUAUUCUUCUCGCCAAAAUUCCCUUAUUGAUAAUGACGAGCCAUUCGAAUAGAUGGAAUUUUCGUGAAGUGUGUCCUUGGCUAUCCCUGCUCAAGAGUGCAGUUUCGAAUUCGGGCUGCGCAGUAUGAGGGACCAGGGGUAAUACGAACAACCCUGGUCAAUUUCCCUGUCCAAUCCCUUGCCAGGUCCUACAAGAACGACACCUCAUAUUCCAUUCAUGACACUUUAGGUGGGGCUGACCUCUGUCGUAUUCCCUGGUAUGGGGCACUAGAGACCCCGUGUAGCUAAGGUUGGCUACUCUGUUUCGGUAUGAAACGAAGGCUUUCCCCUUUGCGUUGAAAAUACAUACAUAAAAACAUUCAAGCAAUAUAAUCCCUCUAUAAAAUAAUCAAAUAAAUCCUCGGCCUUUUCAUUUAAUUACUUGAGCAUUUCCCCCAUAUUGUAGACACGGGUCCGCUUUUUGUAUAAAAUUCUCUCCCGAAUCAAUCCAUUCUACCGACACUUGCGAUCACUCCCGUGUGCCACAACUACACAUGGCAAAAUCCGAAUGCGCUUCAGCAACCCUUCCUAGAAAAAAGUCACGCCCUCUUGGCAUAGACAACAGCUAAAUUCGGCGCCCUAUUUGACCAAUGGCUUGCUCGUACAGCAAUGCUGUCCUUUGACAGGCACUUCAUUGACCAAUAAUAUAUUGGAGGUAGGACAUCAGUGCAAAACCCGCCCUAGUAAUGAGCCCCUGCUUCAUUGCCCGAGAAACCCCGUGGCACCGUUGUGUGUCAGACAGUUUCGCUGGGACCCGCGAUCUAUGCCGGCGAAGAGGGGGAUGGGCGCCACUGCGAAUGUUAGGACCCGAGACAGAAUCAUAGCCCUGUACUACUACCACAUAGAGCUGCAUAUACCCCUUUAUAAAUAUCGAUUGUAAAUAAUAUACAGCACCAUAAUAAAUGGAUUAAACCACCCUGGAUUCAACAUAUACACUCGAUGGAAAUACGGUGCCCAAGCAGGACAGGGAAUUAAACGUUCAACCUUUACGUGGGGGAGAUUUAUAAGUUUGUUUCCUACCCCAGAAGAGGGAGCUACCAAGGGGGGCAAAGAAUAACAGGAGACUCCGAGGCCGAGUUGGAGGCCUGGUUCGAUUUGAUGUUGGAAUACUCGAAGAUUUGCAGACAACACAGGAGGAUACUUAGUUCGUACUGGGUUGGAAUGUCUCACUAGGUCUCCCCAUGUCCGUGAGCCGUCUGCUGCGGCUUUGCGGCACCCCACCCCUAGAGUGGUCUGUCGCUGCAGUUCGGACCCCGUGAUCCCUCUCCCACCCCCCCCCCC